rnacentral:rRNA from 1 species
UACGGGGGGGGCAAGCGUUGUUCGGAAUUACUGGGCGUAAAGGGCCAGUAGGCGGCCAACUAAGUCGGAUGUGAAAUCCCCAGGCUCAACUUGGGAACUGCAUCCGAUACUGGAUGGCUUGAAUUCGGGAGAGGGAUGCAGAAUUCCAGGUGUAGCGGUGAAAUGCGUAGAUAUCGGGAGGAACACCGGUGGCGAAGGCGGCCUUCUGGACGGAUACUGACGCUGAGACGCGAAAGCGUGGGGAGCAAACAGG